GAUGAACGCUGGCGGCGUGCCUAAUACAUGCAAGUCGAGAGAACAGACGAGGAGCUUGCUCCUCUGACGUUAGCGGCGGACGGGUGAGUAACACGUGGAUAACCUACCUAUAAGACUGGGAUAACUUCGGGAAACCGGAGCUAAUACCGGAUAAUAUAUUGAACCGCAUGGUUCAAUAGUGAAAGACGGUUUUGCUGUCACUUAUAGAUGGAUCCGCGCCGCAUUAGCUAGUUGGUAAGGUAACGGCUUACCAAGGCAACGAUGCGUAGCCGACCUGAGAGGGUGAUCGGCCACACUGGAACUGAGACACGGUCCAGACUCCUACGGGAGGCAGCAGUAGGGAAUCUUCCGCAAUGGGCGAAAGCUUGACGGAGCAACGCCGCGUGAGUGAUGAAGGUCUUCGGAUCGUAAAACUCUGUUAUUAGGGAAGAACAAAUGUGUAAGUAACUAUGCACGUCUUGACGGUACCUAAUCAGAAAGCCACGGCUAACUACGUG
rnacentral:rRNA from 1 species